UGGCGCCUGCGUAUUUCCUAUUGACAGGUUAGUGUGCAAAACAAGAGCGAUAGCCUUUACCUCAUUUAUGUACUUGAGCGUUCAGAAAUAGGAUCUAAUAACGACUUUAUUCGAGGAGGAAAAUUCUAACGAAAKAUUAUACAGAGUGAGAGAUGGAUUCGCAGACGAAGGCUGAGCCGAUGCGCGUGCUCGUCACGGGCGGAUCCGGAUUGGUCGGGAAGGCCAUCGAGCACGUGGUGAAACAGGAAGGAGGCUGUCUCGAGGGCGAGCAGUGGACCUUCCUCUGCUCUAAAGAGGCCAACCUCGUUUGUUCUGCCAGAGAUCUACAACAGACAAGAGCAGUGUUUGAGAAGUAUCGGCCCACCCAUGUCAUCCACCUGGCUGCCAAGGUGGGAGGACUCUAUCUUCACAUGAAGGAGAACCUACACUUUCU